CCUACGGGAGGCAGCAGUGAGGAAUAUUGGUCAAUGGGCGCGAGCCUGAACCAGCGAAGUAGCGUGAAGGAUGACUGCCCUACGGAUUGUAAACUUCAUUUAUAAAGGAAUAAAGUGAGGCACGUGUGCCUUUUUGUAUGUACUUUAUGUAUAAGGAUCGGCUAACUCAGUGCCAGCAGCCGCGGUAAUACGGAGGAUCCGAGCGUUAUCCGGAUUUAGUGGGUUUAAAGGGAGCUGAGAUGGGUUUGUAAGUCAGUUGUGAAAGUUUGGGGCUCAACCCGAAAAUUGCAAUUGAUACUGGAAGUCUUGAGUACAGUUGAGGUAGGCGGAAUUCGUGGUGUAGCGGUGAAAUGCUUAGAUAUCACGAAGAACUCCGAUUGCGAAGGCAGCUUACUAAACUGCCACUGACAUUGAUGCUCGAAAGUGUGGGUAUCAAACAGGAUUAGAUACCCUAGUAGUC
rnacentral:rRNA from 1 species